rnacentral:rRNA from 1 species
CAGCAGCCGCGGUAAUACGAAGGGGGCUAGCGUUGUUCGGAUUUACUGGGCGUAAAGCGCACGUAGGCGGACUUUUAAGUCAGGGGUGAAAUCCCGGGGCUCAACCCCGGAACUGCCUUUGAUACUGGGAGUCUUGAGUUCGAGAGAGGUGAGUGGAAUUGCGAGUGUAGAGGUGAAAUUCGUAGAUAUUCGCAGGAACGCCAGUGGCGAAGGCGGCUCACUGGCUCGAUACUGACGCUGAGGUGCGAAAGCGUGGGGAGCAAACAGGAUUAGAUACCCCCGUAGUCCCUGUCUCUUAUAC